rnacentral:rRNA from 1 species
UACGAGGGGGGCAAGCGUUGUUCGGAAUUAUUGGGCGUAAAGGGCGCGUAGGCGGUCUGAUAAGUCUUGUGUGAAAUCUCUGGGCUCAACCCAGAGUCUGCACAGGAAACUGUCGGGCUUGAGUAUGGGAGAGGUGCGUGGAAUUUCCGGUGUAGCGGUGAAAUGCGUAGAUAUCGGAAGGAACACCUGUGGCGAAAGCGGCGCACUGGACCAAAACUGACGC